GGAUUAGAUACCCUGGUAGUCCACGCCGUAAACGAUGCAUACUAGGUGUUGGCUUUUCGGAGCCAGUGCUGCAGUUAACGCAUUAAGUAUGCCACCUGGGGAGUACGUCGGCAACGAUGAAACUCAAAGGAAUUGACGGGGGCCCGCACAAGCGGUGGAGCAUGUGGCUUAAUUCGAUGCAACGCGAGGAACCUUACCUGGGCUAAAUCCACGGUGCUACCUCCCGAAACGGAGGGUCCCUUCGGGGCGCUGUGGAAGGUGCUGCAUGGCUGUCGUCAGCUCGUGCCG
rnacentral:rRNA from 1 species